GUUCUAUUUUUGAAUGUAUACUUGACUGAAUUUUUUUUCGUAGGUCUUCUCUUCAUGGGAAGGGAUUAAACAGAUUUUGGUCUAACAUUGAAGGUUACUAUGGAAGCUCUGCAUAUGUUUAUGCGAUAAGCCCAAUUUUCCAUGUAUUUCCUCCUUCUGGGAAGGACAAGAAUUUUGUAUAUAGCCACUUGCAUCCUACGGGGAGAUAUGAAGCAUAUCCAAAGCCAGUGGGUAUCGCGUUUAGAGGAACUGUCGGAAAUGAGAGAAUAUUUAUAGAUGAAGAUUUGGCUAAAGUUACUAUUCAUCAUCAUGCAGUUGACAAAACUUACCAACCUGGCUCUCUAUUUCCCAAUCAGGUAAAUGUAGAACCACUUGGCCCUCUAAUUCCCAGUCAGAGUGAAAGAAAAACAUCGCUACCUACCUGAGUAUACUGUGCAUUGGACUCUAGCUCCUAGUCCUGCUUCCUACCUAUUUAUUUUUCUUUUUUGCCUGUUAUCUAAUUACCUAAAUUUCCUUCUAUGCAGCUGUAUUUUAAUCCUACUACUGUGAAAAUGCUGAGCAACCAGAAGUAUGAAAGCAAUGCGCAGUUCGUGAGGUGGUCAGAU